ACACAGAGCGAGGGGAAAAGAGACUGUCUCUACACACAGAGCGAGGGGAAAAGAGAGACUGUCUCUACACACAGAGCGAGGGGAAAAGAGAGACUGUCUCUACACACAGACCGAGGGGAAAAGAGAGACUGUCUCUACACACAGAGAGAGGGGAAAAGAGAGAGAGCCUCCACACAGAGAGAGGAAAACGGAGAUGGGGACAGUUUGUCUGUAUGCCGGGAGGCUCUGGAAUUAUGAUAAUAUUGACUGUUUCUGGGUAAUGUUAGGUUUGGAGGGUAAUGUUAGGUUUGGAGGGUAAUGUUAGGUUUGGAGGGUAAUGUUAGGUUUGGAGGGUAAUGUUAGGUUUGGAGGGUAAUGUUAGGUUUGGAGGGUAAUGUUAGGUUUGGAGGGUAAUGUUAGGUUUGGAGGGUAAUGUUAGGUUUGGAGGGUAAUGUUAGGUUUGGAGGGUAAUGUUAGGUUUGGAGGGUAAUGUUAGGUUUGGAGGGUAAUGUUAGGUUUGGAGGGUAAUGUUAGGUUUGGAGGGUAAUGUUAGGUUUGGAGGGUAAUGUUAGGUUUGGAGGGUAAUGUUAGGUUUGGAGGGUAAUGUUAGGUUUGGAGGGUAAUGUUAGGUUUGGAGGGUAAUGUUAGGUUUGGAGGGUAAUGUUAGGUUUGGAGGGUAAUGUUAGGUUUGGAGCCCAGCAGGAAGGAUGUUCAACAGGUUGAUAAACUACCUGCAUGUGUCACAUGUCAACAGACGGAAGAUGCCAAACUGACAACAUUUCAGAUAUUCACUGACAUAUGCUAAUUUUUGCUCUCUUCCUCCCCUCCAUCCCUCCUUUCCCCUCCUCCACCC